rnacentral:rRNA from 1 species
GAUGAACGCUAGCGGCAGGCUUAAUACAUGCAAGUCGUGGGGCAGCAGGCUUGUAGCAAUACAGAUGCUGGCGACCGGCAAACGGGUGCGGAACACGUACAGAACCUUCCUUUGAGCGGGGAAUAGCCCAGAGAAAUUUGGAUUAAUACCCCAUAGUAUAAUGAAGUGGCAUCACUUUAUUAUUAAAGAUUUAUCACUCGAAGAUGGCUGUGCGGCUGAUUAGGUAGUUGGCGGGGUAAAGGCCCACCAAGCCUGCGAUCAGUAACUGGUGUGAGAGCACGACCAGUCACACGGGCACUGAGACACGGGCCCGACUCCUACGGGAGGCAGCAGUAAGGAAUAUUGGUCAAUGGAGGCAACUCUGAACCAGCCAUGCCGCGUGGAGGAUGAAGGUCCUCUGGGUUGUAAACUGCUUUUCUAUGGGAAGAAACACUCAUACGUGUAUGAACUUGACGGUACCAUAGGAAUAAGGAUCGGCUAACUUCG